AGGACGAACGCUGGCGGCGUGCUUAACACAUGCAAGUCGAGCGGAAAGGCCCUUCGGGGUACUCGAGCGGCGAACGGGUGAGUAACACGUGAGUAAUCUGCCCUUAGCUCUGGGAUAGCUCCGGGAAACCGGGAUUAAUACCAGAUACGACCACUUUAGACAUCUGCCGUGGUGGAAAGAAUUUCGGCUAAGGAUGAGCUCGCGGCCUAUCAGCUUGUUGGUGGAGUAACGGCCUACCAAGGCGACGACGGGUA
rnacentral:rRNA from 1 species